ACUGUACCUUGAGCAGCACCUGCUGGCAGCUUCCAGGGAUCACGCCGGAACGCGGCCGCUGCUCGAGCCCAGCUCGCAGGAUGCCUGGAGCCAGGGCCAAGCCGGUCUAAGCGGCAGCCUCUAUUUUUACCCUGAGCACCAGCAAGGGCAACUUCUUUUAAGAGCAGCUCUUGAUUUUUUCCCCCCUUUUGGCAGCUAAAGAAUUCAGGGAGGGGAAAAAAAUCACUGUUCAGUGAGUGCAGCUGGGAAUCUCUGAACCCAGCCCUCAGUGCCAGGGAGUGAAACCACAGCAAAUGUCAGGGAGCGGGACCUGCGGAGGGGCCGGCUGGCUCCCCGCGGACAGAGGCGAGCCGGGAGCGCUCGCGCACCAGCCAACUGCCCCCUUCUGAGUGCGGAGCGCGGUCCUCCAGCGACUGCACUAGCAAAGUGGCCCGCUGCCACCGCGUUAUUCACCUAGUGGAGGCGGCCUGAUUUACUGGCGACUUCACAAACCCAACUCCACGCUGGAGCAUUUGCAUGGCUCUGUUCUCGCCUCGAGGAGCAGCCACUAGCGAACCCGGUGGAGCAGCUUGCUGCGAGAAGGAGCCGGGAGGGAAACUGUGGUACCUUAUUUUACUGUAAUUGCAAAAGGAACGAUGUGCCAGAGAUUUAUAUUUAGAAGUUGUAUGUUUCUACUUUUAUGUAAAUGGAGCAAUUAGGGCCUGUCUUGCUGCUGCUAACUCCAAUGCGUGUGCAUUGCUGGGGAGCUGGUGUUUUCAAUCACAAUUAGUGAGCUGGUCAAAAAACAAAGUUCGUUUAAGGAUAAGAGCUCAAUUGUGCGAAUGGGGGAGAGGCCAGCGUUCGUGUGCUGGCCCGUGGCUUACGGUGACACCUAGCUUAGGGCCACGGCCAACCCUAUAGUGGUGUUUACCUGUGGCAGCAGCUGUCCCUGUUCAAAGUUGGCAUAGAUGAGGAAGCAAGAAUGUUCACUUUUCUUCUCAAACCGUCUGUCCUUCAGCUUUCAUCCACGCUAUUAACUGGUCUCUUUCCUCACUACUCCUGGAGCAAGGAGACAGGACCAGAAAAGGGAGUGGGGGUUGGGGCAUUUUUCAGGGCUCUAUUAUUUUAGCUGCUGCUCACGGAUUGCUGUUAUUCAGUCAAAAAUACAAGCCAGGAGACGCGAACGCCCCAAGCAGGUGACUGGGAUGUUGUUCUCUGAUUCAGCUGAAAUGACACAAGGCUGGGGGUUCAGAGGCACGGACAAGAGUGCUGACGAGUCACGGUGUUUUCUUUCCUUCCUAUGAAAAAAUCUGUUUCCAAAAAAGCAUGAUUUCUGGUUCAUCCCGUCUGGGAAACCGAACAUAAAACGUGACUAUGGAGAGAAAUCAAAAGGACUCGAGGUGUUCCCAGCAGCUGAUGUGUUAUUCUGGGGCUCAGGCCGGAAAACCUGGCCUUGUUGGUGAGGGGUGACUCCCUCCAGAGGCAGCUCAGAAUCCAGAGAACGUGGGCAGGAUCCAGAGUACUAUUUGCUGCAGGGAGACUGCGAGAGUCUGUGAUGAAGGGUCUCAUCAAAUGGUUUAAAUCGAACAUGGGAUUGGCAAACCCUGCCUGUUUCCUGGACAGCCGCAGCCUGUACAUAGCUUGGGCUGAAUGUUAGGUAGAAAGAUUUGGGACAAAGGAGAAUCAGCGUUUCACGUUCAAAAUUGAACUGGGAAGCUGUUUUGCUUUUAAGUUAAAUCAAUGAAUGAAUAGAUCGAAACAGAGAGAGAGAGGAAAGCAUUAAAAAGUCCCCUGAAAUUCAUUGAGAACAACAGGGUCAGAAAUGGUUAAUCUGAAACUUGACUCGUAAGCUUCACAUUUCUUUCAGAACCACCAGAAUAUCCCACAAGGCCUUCUGCUAUGUAAGAGCACUCUGUUUUUAGAUUAUUUGGAAAUGCUGCUUUCUGAACCAAGGGAACCCAGAUACUAGAACUAAAACAAUUAGGGAAAAGAGAAGGAGGAAGAAAACCCAGUAAGUAACCUAUUACUCUUCAUUCUACAGCAGUGGUUCUCAACCGGGGCGAUUUUGCUCCCCGGGGAACAUCUGGCCAUGUUUGAAGACAUUUUGGUUGUUACAGCUGGGAGGGAGGUUCUACUGAUCAUUAGUGGGUAGGGCCCAGGGAUGCUGCUGAAUAUCCUACCAUGCACAGGACAGCCCCCAACAACAAGAAAUUACCUGGCCUACAGUGUUCAUUGUUCUGCAGUUGAGAUACCCUGAUUUCAUAUUAUAAUUGUAAAGUUUCACUCAACCUUCUCCCUAUCCAUCUCCAAGAGGCCUUGGAAACCAAAAAAAAAAAAAAAUUGCAGCUCUACAAAAUACUAAUAAUUCAAGUGAUUCUGCUUCCUUUUGCAUCUUAUGUUUUCUGAUUACUGGAGACUACAGAUACAAUGUUCCUCUUGGGCAACCUCGUUGUUCCAACCAACUUUCACGUAUGGUCUCAAUACAUUUUCCUGCUGGCUUUUUGUUCUGACCUAAAGCAGAAUCUUGGUGACCAGCAACAAAAUGAGAUGGGCUGGCCCACACCCAAGUUGUUAGGAGACAAGAGACUCAUGCAAAAGAGUAAAUGAAUAAAGGAUUGAGUUGUUCAUUUUAGCAAUUCAGUAUCAGAUAAAUCCAUGCAAUAGAGAAUUCCCUGAAGUAAAAUUCACAAACGUAGGAUAACCAUGCCUUUCUCCUAGAGCAAACAAAUAUGAUGUAGCUUGAUUUUAUUUGUUUAAUACCUUAGGGGAAUGACAUACAAUCAAUAUCCAAAGAGAUAAAACAGUGUUUUGCUAAAUCCUAAUGGCUGUUGCAAGCAACAUUAUAUUCUCCAAACUUCCUUUGUAAAAGGAAGUGGUGUGUCUAUUAAAGGAAGGCCAUGCCCUUCCAGGUGUUGCUCUCCUGUGAGGACUGGGGAAACUAUUGUGAAGGAUUCCAUCUCAUGGAAAAUCGUAAGAGUAAUCAACAAGUAUUGGUGAAAUGCACAAGAGGGAAGUUGCCUGGAUAAAACUAGCUUAGAACUGAAAUCCUGUUGUCCAUACAGUGAGUGCUUACUUCCCUGGUUCAUCACUUAGCUCCUGAGUAAAAUGGGUCAUCCAGAAAGGAAAGGGUAGGUCAGAGAUCAUUUUAAGAUGAAGGGAGCCAUGAGGGGAAUGUCUUAGACACUCUGACGCCGUAUCAUCUCUUCCAACGUGUGAAUCACUGUCUCCUCAGGUAAAUGGUCAUUUUGGAACCAAAGGCCUCAAUCAACUUUCAAAUGAUUCAGAAAUGCCUGGACUUCUUCCCAAGAAGUAACCAUGUAGUACAUGUAAAAAAAAUUCAAUAUUGAAAGAAAUACUCAUUUACAACCACUAUAUAAAAACAUAUAUUGAAAAAAACCCAGACUAACUCAACCUGAAGAAAUAUGCCCUCAACAUUCUUCCUGACCAAUAUAUAUUUCAAAAUUGUUUAUCAUGACUCAGUUCUAACCCAAUCAGGAAACAUCUGCUUCAACAAUUUAUCUUCCUAUUGCCUCAGAAGAUUAUUGAAAAAUACCCCCCAAGGAAUGCGGAACAGAUUGUUGUAAUCAUUUUUCUCACCUGGAUCCCCUUGGGUAAUAAGUUCCAUUGGUGACUUGAAGACAUGGUGGUUUAGCACGUAGAUUCCAUUGGACUGAUAAGAGAGCAGCAAUCUUGAUUUGCAUCCACUUUUGCCUGUCCACAAAGAUCCCCCCACAACCUGUUCCCAAAUCGCUGCUUGGAGGGAAAAAGCCCGACAGAAAAGCCUGGGGGCAGUUCUGUGUGUAUUUUUUUUAAAUCAGUGAAUUGCUGCCUCCCUCGUGUCCUAAUAGAGUCCAAAGGUUCUGCCCUCUGUGGGAGCAGCUCCAAGGCAUGGGCUGAGUGCUGCUGUUCACGAGUCCUGUGGACUCGCGUGGACACUGGCAGCAGCUCAGCUAGAGCCUUGGAAAGAUGGGCAAAUGCUCUGUGACAAGCCACCAGGGUAGACUGGUACUGAAAAGACCCUACUACACACAGGGGCUCUGUCCCUGGCUGGAAAGUUACAAGUCAGCCUACCUCUCUGUGAUCUGGUUUCCACACCUACUACUCUUUAUCCCAUGAGGAGCUUCUGGAAACUAAAAUAGCAGCUGCCCAGGUAGAAGAGUGUUGACCAAAGGACACAUCACCAGCACAGACUGUUAAUCAUGUGACUAGAGAAAACUCUCAUGGUGGCAUUCAAAUUUCCAUAUCCUUCUUCUAUGGAAAUUUCUGAGAGACCCAGAAAAGAAGCGUAACGACGAGGGAAAGUGAUUCCUGCAGACCUGAACAUUCCAGACUUACCAGGUGAUCCAGCUGUCUGUCAGCGGGAAGAGGCUGAGGCGCCCCCUUCUGGUGCAUCUGAAUAGUAAGAAACCCUGUGUAGAAAGAAACCCUGUAGCAAUUGGGCACCUUCUCCGUGAUCUGUCUGCUUCCAAUACCAAAAAUUGUUGCUUUUUAAAUGACAUCCAUCCUAAGCUUAAAAAAGACGCAUAUUAUUUGUAUAAAAUGUUGAAGACGCAGAACAAAAAAUGUAAAUCACAUGUAAUCAUCCCUUCCAGAAAUAAUCGUUAUUAAAAUUUCUGUGUAUGUGUAAAAAAAAAAAUUGCAAUCCUACUGUAAUAUAAUCCUGUAUACUGAUAUUUUUCACCUAUCACUGUAUGUUGAGCAUUUUCAAUAGUCAAAUUAUUUCUUGAAAAUAUUAAUGACUGGGGAGUAACCUUUCAAAUAGGUGUGUCUUUAUUUUUAAACCAGUCCACAAUUAUUGUAUAUUGAAGUCAUUUCCCAAAUUUUGUAAGUAUAAGUAUUGCAUCCAUCCUUAUAUGUAUUUAAAUGCAUCUCUUAUUAUUUCCUUGAGAUAAGUUCCUAGAAGUGGAAUCACUGGAUUUAAAAAUGUGGACAUAUUUAUGCCAGACGCGGUGGGUCAUGCCUGUAAUCCCAGCACUUUGGGAGACUGAAGCAGGUGGAUCACUUGAGGUCAGGAGUUCAAGACCAGCCUGGCCAACAUAGUGAAACCCCAUCUCUACUAAAAUUACAAAAAUUAGCCGGGUGUGGUAGUGCACGCCUGUAAUCCCAGCUACUCAGGAGGCUGAGGCAUAAGAAUCACUUGAACUCAGGAGGCGGAGGUUGCAGUGAGCCAAGAUGGCACCACUGCGCUCCAGUCUGGGCGACAGAGUAAGACUUCAUCUCAAAAAUAAAUAAAUAAAAUUAAAAUUAAAUAAGAUAAAUAAAAAAUAAAAAUGUGGACAUAUUUAAAUCUUCAUAUAUAUUACCAAAUGCCCUCCUGAAAGUUUUUACCUGUUACAUUCCAACCAAUAGUGUAAGGGCAUGACUCUUUCCCUGUGUUUUGGGAUGGAUGUUAUCAAAGUUCUCUCCCACCCAGGCCAAGUAUGGUAUAUGCUUUGAUUUAAUUUGAAUUUUUAAAUUAUUAUUUAAAAUGGACAUUUUGUUGUCCAUUUGAACAACUUUCUUUUGAGUCACUGUUCAUGUUCUUUGCCCAUUGUUUCUCUUUUAUUAGUAAGAACCCUAUUGUCAUUUUUAUAUUUUAAAUAAAAUUUCAUUGUAUAUACAUUUAUAUUAUCUAUAGUAAAGUAUAUUUUAUUAUUAAUGAGAACUUU
rnacentral:lncRNA from 1 species